GAAUCCCGUCUUUGGCAUGGAUGACCGGGGCUUUUGUGAUGCGCUCUCGAAGAGUCGAGUUGUUUGGGAAUGCAGCUCAAAAUGGGUGGUGAACUCCAUCUAAAGCUAAAUAUUGGCGAGAGACCGAUAGCGAACAAGUACCGUGAGGGAAAGAUGAAAAGCACUUUGGAAAGAGAGUGAAACAGUACGUGAAAUUGUUGAAAGGGAAACGCUUGAAGUCAGUCGCGUCGGCCGAGACUCAGCCUUGCCUCGGCUUGGUGUACUUCUUGACCGACGGGUCAGCAUCAAUUUUGCCCCUUGGAUAAUGGCGAGGGAAAUGUGACACCUUUAUAGGUGUGUUAUAGUCUCUCGUCGCAUGCAAGGGUCGGGAUUGAGGAACUCAGCACGCGCCUUCGGGCGUCGGGGCCUUGCCCACGAUACGUGCUUAGGAUGUUGGCGUAAUGGCUUUAAACGACCCGUCUUGAAACACGGACCAAGGAGUCUAACAUGCCCGCGAGUGUUCGGGUGGAAAACCCGUGCGCGCAAUGAAAGUGAAAGUUGGGACCUCUGUCGCGGAGGGCACCGACGCUCGGACCAGAGCUUCUGCGACGGAUCUGCGGUGGAGCGUGUAUGUUAGGACCCGAAAGAUGGUGAACUAUGCCUGAAUAGGGUGAAGCCAGAGGAAACUCUGGUGGAGGCUCGUAGCGAUUCUGACGUGCAAAUCGAUCGUCAAAUUUGGGUAUAGGGGCGAAAGACUAAUCGAACCAUCUAGUAGCUGGUUCCUGCC
rnacentral:rRNA from 1 species